rnacentral:tRNA from 1 species
CGGAAUGUCGCCUAACGGUAUGGCGCUUCAUUUGGGAUGAAGAAAUAAAGCAGGUUCAACUCCUGUCAUUCCGA